rnacentral:tRNA from 1 species
AGACUGCUAGUUAAAUUAUAACGUUAGUUUGUCAAACUAAAAUUACUUAAGUGCGGUCUG